CAAAGCCUCCCCUCACUGCUGAAACAGUGUUGAUUAGGGGGGGGUCUGGAUUAUAUCCUCCUCGUCAGGACCUUGGAAGAUAACACCUACUGUCACUGCUGGGGCAGUGCUAAUUGCUGGAACAACGCCUGUUGGUCAGGGCCCUGAGAAAGAAGGGCAGAACCCGAGGAAUCAAAACACAUUUGUCAGCAGAAACCGCAACAGUAAAGAUAAGGGAGAAAAGCGGCCUGCCUAGGAACAACGAUGAGACCCAAUAGGGAGCAGGAGACCCCAGACCCCAAAAUUACUAUUGGUCUGAACUACCGCGUGAGGGGUGGGAAACUUAAUUUGAAAGAGCUAUAAUUGCCCAGGGAUUUCUUUGUUCAGGGUCCCUCUUUGGAGGCACCCAACUCGAGCUGUAACUACUGCACACAUGUCAUUCCGAACUUUUCAGCAGGAACCUAGGGUCGGACCCUGCUGGAGUUGUAAUUACUGCACACGCAUCACUAAAAUUUACACCCAGGGUGAAGAGGACCAACGGGACGCCGCUGGAUCCACGGGUGACCUACAAAGGCUUUUUAUGGAUAUGAAAAAAGAACUGCUAAAUCAUGAUGAUAAAAAUAUGGACAGACGACAAUUAUGAUUCCUUGGAUUUCCACAACCCUGCUCCCUCCAUCCUGCACCAAAGUCGAAUGUGGGGCUGACUGGAGAGCCAGCAACAGAGCAAGAGCACUGCCUGAGGCAACGCCGCGUGACAGGGAGCACAUACACGCGGCAGGACAGACCACAGCCCCUGACUUUCUCCCGCUUUGCCCUGCAUGGUUAUCUUCCCCCUUAAACUUCCCAUUACUGCCUGACUGAAGAGCCCUGAGGUAGCUCUCAGGUCAAUCCCUCGAAGAAAUCCAAUGACCACAGGUCCUGCAGGAGCCCAAGAACAGCUUCCAACACCAUUAGAGGGAAGAGCCUCUUCGCAUUACAGCUGCUGACGUGAGGCUGCAGCAGCCUUAAAUACCUUGAGAAGAAAAUACACUUUUGCAAGCGCUUAAGUAUUAUUCCUGUUUGUCCUUCCAUGUUUUGGAGGAUGGAAAUGCUUUAGAAAGUGAUUUGAAUGGAUUUCCAACUCCAAAACGUCAAGAGGCCCAGCAGAGCUAACAGCAAGAAAGAGGCAAGUAGCUGCAGGAAGGCGCCAGGAGGAGGAAAGGAAAGAGGAGGUCCAACACUAUGGGUAACAGCCUCUCUUGAAGUCUGGUUUCUAUAGCACAGAUGUCUACAGUGACAAUCUAACCCUGCUUCUGUGGACGUAAUACUGUGACAGACGCUCAAAGAAAGCUUCUCUCAAAACACUGAUUCUCAUGCUCCUGAAGCAAAAAGGGGCAAGGUGGUGGUGGUGGUGUAUUAGCAAAAGGUGCAGAUAACAAGACUGCACGUUUUUAGCACUUGAUUAAAACAUACUUUAACAGCAGGUCAGUGGCAGGGGAUAUUUAAUACAAAAUACCAGCUGACUUGCUUUUAGGGUUGAGCUGAACAUACGCUGCUGGAAGAGAUGGGUGACAAAUGUCCAAACAGAGAAGAUGAGAGAACCUAUGUAAUAAAAUGCAAGUUUUUGCUGAUAUCAGAAUAACUUUUGAUGGAGGAGCCUCAGAGUUGACUGGGUUGUCUCCUUGAUUUAUUGAAGGAACCAGUUUAAAUAAUCUAACAGCAACUGGAAUCAUACAGUGAUUAUGGCCUAGAAAAAUUUGAAGGUUGCCUAGCUCCCUUCUCCAGUGCUGGCUCAGAUGGAAGUGAUUUUAAGAACCUAGUAAAUAAAUAAGUUGGUGGAAAAAAUAUAUGAAGCAUCAACUAAGCAUUAUAGCACAAUUUUUUCAGAGAAACUUCACUGAAAAAUGUUCUACCUUUCAUGUAAAUAUAUAACUUUAUUAUAGAGUGCUAAUCAUUUUCUGUAUUAUCUUCUGAUGCACUGAAGAAACUCCUCAUGAAGUAUGGGAGCAGCUGAGCUGAGCAGAAGUUCAUAGUAUCUUCUUCCAUUUGGCCAUUUUACUUCUUUUUUACUAAAUGACUACCAAAAAGCUCCAAAAUGAUUAAAUAUAAAGUGUCAGAUAAAGGUUAAUUCAAUACUACAGGACAAACCAUUUAUUCUAGGCCAUUUAUGCUAGGAAAGAAAACUGAAUUCUUUAUUACACAUCCAUGUUGCAGGAGUGAAGGAUUUAAAACAUUUUGUUUUCUAUAUGGUAAAAAGAACAAUAGAAAUUAUGAAUCUCUUCUGCCCUGCCUAAGAACAAACAAAAUUAAACAUGCUCGCCCCCAUUCAGUGUUAAAUACAUAAAUUGCUACUGUGUUUGCAAGCAAUAGCUGAAAAUAAGUGCCAGGUCUGGACAGAACCUGAGCCAAAUCUUGGAGAGCUGGAUUUGAUGCAGUGCUUGAGAGCUUCACUCGAGGAACGGAUUAUGAUAGGUGAGCUUCCAGUAGGCCACAAAUAAAAAUGGAACUCAUUUUGUGCUAGGGAGAACCCAAUGGUGCCAUGUUACAAAUGAGACACCGAAAAGAGACUAUUUAGCAUUAAUACAAAUUAUGACGUCCCAUAAAACUUUUCUCAGGAGUUUUAGUAUUAUCCUUUGGUAUCAUCUUAGAUGAUCUGUGGCCUAGUGGACAAAUUGCUCUAGGAUACUGAAGAACUCCCCUCCUCUCAUCAGUGUUUGAACUCCAACCUAGGUGUAUUUACAGACAAUUUACAGCCAUCUGUGCUGUUGUCAGUGUUGUCCUUUACCUUAAAUUGCUCUCCCAUGUUCAGGGUUCAUUCCCUUCACGUAUCUGUAGAGACUAGGUCAUAAGACUUUCAUCUUGUUAGAAAUAUUAAGCUACACCUACCCUAAUACUAAAAUACUACAAGUUGUAUCUAGAAGCAGUCUCUACUGGAAUAAUCUAUCAUAAAAUGAGUGAGCAGUCUCUGCUGGAAUAAUCUAUUAUAAAAUGAGUGAUGGAUAAUAAUUUUGUUAGGCAGUGUGCCUUCCUCCCUCCCCCCCAACAGAUGCGUUUUCAUUCAUACUUUAGAAAGACACCAAACAAAAGAUAAGCAUAACUGUAAAAGCAACAGCUUCAUCUAAGUGCGCUAUUUCAUACGCUGUAGUUUGAAGUGCUACAAAAUUCUCACAAAAAAGUAUCAAAAUAAUCAUUUGCCCAAACCUAGUGCUUGGAAACAAUAUUACUUUUCAUAGCAAUUUUUUGUCCAGUUCAGACACAUUAAACAAUUUUCAUGAGACCCAAGUAAGUUACCUCUGAAUCUAGCACAGGUAAGAUUUUGGUUAACUUCCCCAGAGGAAAGUUGCAUUAAGCGAGAGGAAGAGGAAACUCGUUAAACUGCUCCUCUGGAGAGGCUACUUGGGAAAGGAGCACAGCCUUGAGCCCAGAAAACUGCCUGGCUUUUAAGAAGGAAGUUUGGCUGAGGAUUGUUGCUUAGCUACACAGUUCACGGCAGUCAAUUAACCUGUGAUGAUAAUUUCGAAGUGUUCUCCUUGCAACCAGAGUUACAUAGUCUCAUGUGAAAUCUGCACAUUAAUUUAUCUACUACAAACAAGUAGUUGAGUGUUUUGGAUAAAAUCAUAAUCUUAUUGUCUGAGAAAAAAAUGGAAGAAGAGAGCUGCAAGUUUCAAAGCUAUGGAAAAAAAUGAAUUUUGGUAAGCCACUCGAGCAGGCUCCAGAAUGCCUUAGGCAUUAGUAAAUCCAAUCCAGCUUCCACGUGCUUCGGCUCAAGCCAACAGGAAACCACAAAAGCACAAUAUUCAAGAGGAGAACAAGCCUGUAUGUAUACGCCACAAGGCUCCUGAACACUUUCUCAGUUAUCAAGUAUCCAAACUUGCCUUCUUACCAUCUAGCCUAUCCCAGCACAACCCCAUCCUCACACCUACCAGUUUUCUACUAUGACUUUUCUGAAAUGCAGAGCUACACUAAGCCUAACCAGUGUUGCUUCCUGUGAAGCAGGGAAAAAAGUAUCUUCAUAGUGUGCCAGCUGUUAUAACCCCUUCAAGGUAGGAGCGCUGAUGACUAAGUUGUCAUGAAAUCUCCUUUCCCCUCCUAUUACUUGUUACAAGUUUUAUUAUUUUUAUAGUGCUCCCUCAGAAACCACUAGUCAAGGUAAGGAACUCAGACACUGCAUUGGGUGAAAGCUCCGGGAUGUCUUGGCGGUCAGCAAACCCAGGCUUUCCCACAGUCUAGUGAGAAUUAAUACCAAGCUGCUAUCACCAGAGACCUCCUAUGUCCGACACUUUCAGAAGUUUUUGGACAGCGAAUGCAUCUGUAUGUUCAGGCUCUUCACUGAACACAGCGGUGAAGAGAAAACAGUUGUCAGGAGAUGUACACAUCGAGACAGGUAGAUCAAAAAUAACAACAUCUGAGAAACUUCUCGACGCUACCCCGCGUGUGCAUGGUGGGCAGGGAGCACCAGUGCGGGAGGAGAGCAGUCCCUUAGGUUCGUCCCCCAGGCUUGACUUGCAGCAUCGCCACAGUUGCUGCAGGUGCGACUCAAGUCAUGACCAAACCACGCGCCGGGAGCGAGGGACAGGUCUUCCACCCUGCCUCAUUAUUCCCCAAGGGCCAAACCCCAGCGUGGGGUGAGCAAGAUGUAAACACUACUAUUAUUUUAAAGAGAUAGCUUUCUUUGUAAUUCUAACAUGUGAAGUGAAAGCUAUAAACUCCCAAUUAUCUAAAUGUAUGGUGGAAAUUUACAUUCUCCUCACUGUAGAACUGAUUUAUUCCCAAAAAGCUGAAUUCAAUGCAACAUUGUCAGGGAAUAGUGCAAAAGCUAUAAAAUAAUAGCACCUCCUGAAAUACUGUUUUAAAAUUCAAGAGAGUCAGAAUAUUCCCUUUAAUAAACAAGGCAAUCUUUCAUAGAAACCCAAGGCUUCCUGACAUUUUCCAUUACAGCAGAAAUACAGCAAAGAUGGGUGUGAAAGCUUUAAACUAAUAUCUGAGGUACUUACAUGUCAAUACUUGACCAUGGCAGAUACUUUGAGUUAGCGUUAUAUGACCUAGAUGGUAUAAACUGUCAUAGCUUCACUAACUUUAAUCAAAACCAUUGGAGAUGUGGCAACUUACACUAGCUAAGAAUCUUCCCUAGGCUGUAGCCCUGACUUAAGUAUUUUAGGGAGGCUUGAUCCAUUUUGUAAACGUCAGUGAACAUUUUAAACAUGCUUGUAUGUGUGUGUGUAUACGUGUAAAUACAAGAAUUCUGAAGUUUAUUUAUAGAACUGAGAAUUUGCAAAAUAACAGUACUCUAAGGCUAAAAAUAUCCAAGUGGAAAUGGUUUUCCUAAUAUGACUUCCAAAGAAACUCGUGCGACAAUGCAGUAAUAUCUUCCAUAAAUCACAGCAGUUGAUAUCAAGCUAUGGCAUGUAAUUGUAUUAGUCUUAUCUAGCAUUUUUACGGCUAAGCAGUAAGAAGAAGUG